rnacentral:tRNA from 1 species
ACACUGGUGGGUCAGUAGUAGAAUUCCCACCUUCCAUGUGGGAGACAUGGGUUCAAUUCCUGGCCAAUGCA